rnacentral:rRNA from 1 species
CCUACGGGAGGCUGCAGUGGGGAAUAUUGGACAAUGGGCGAAAGCCUGAUCCAGCCAUGCCGCGUGUGUGAAGAAGGCCUUCGGGUUGUAAAGCACUUUCAGUGGGGAAGAAAGCCUUGGGGCUAAUACCCUCGAGGAAGGACAUCACCCACAGAAGAAGCACCGGCUAACUCCGUGCCAGCAGCCGCGGUAAUACGGAGGGUGCGAGCGUUAAUCGGAAUUACUGGGCGUAAAGCGCGCGUAGGCGGUCUGAUAAGCCGGUUGUGAAAGCCCCGGGCUCAACCUGGGAACGGCAUCCGGAACUGUCAGGCUAGAGUGCAGGAGAAGAAGGUAGAAUUCCCGGUGUAGCGGUGAAAUGCGUAGAGAUCGGGAGGAAUACCAGUGGCGAAGGCGGCCUUCUGGACUGACACUGACGCUGAGGUGCGAAAGCGUGGGUAGCAAACAGGAUUAGAUACCCGAGUAGUC